rnacentral:lncRNA from 1 species
ACUAGAGGACGCCCGUUCCAAUGGCAACUCUGCCAAGGCGCCUAUGAGAGCCUCUUGGCUUUUACCUGGUCUGCGAGAAAUCAAACUUUGGGCACAAGUCAUGAAGCCGACAAGCCCGGGAGACACAGUGUCAGAAUUACAAGGUGAGAUCAGCCGCCCGGCCAAGCUAUCUUCUCGCUAGCAGGUCUCGCAUCUGGGGCUCGAUCUCGUGCAGAGGAGCAUUUCCGAAGACACUGGCCGCUCCCACAAUGGCUCCGAAGAACCCAGCGACCAGCGGGUUCAUGAGUUUGUUGGGGCUGUCCACUCGGUACCAGCUGCGCAGGGAUGUCAGGACAAAGAAACAAGUUGCCUGGUUCCAGCCCUGCUUCAGCACGGGGCCUGUGGGGCCCCGGUAAGUCCCGGUGUUCCCGCACAAUCUCCUAACCCUGUGGAAGAAUCCCCUGUACUUGGAUUUGGAGAGGUCUGGCCAUGGAUUAACUUCACCUUGAUGGUCUCCAUGGGACAUAGGACCACCACGGCCUCGGCCACGCUAGCUCACUGGCCGCACCGCUGCCCGCCUUGCUGUUCACCAGUCCCUGGGCAUCCCGCAUCUGGUUGCUGAGGAACGCCUGACGCCGCCUUGUGGAUGAAGCCGCAGAGCAGGGAGCUGAGGCUGCGGCCCAGGCCCAGGCUGCCUUGGCUGCGACUGUGUGCCUGCAGGCCCCAUGCCCGGUAUCCGGUGGAUGCGAGUGCUAGUCCAGCUGCAGCUGCAUCUUCACGAACUCGGUGGGGAACGGGAUGCAGAUUUUUUUUUUCUUUUCCUUCCUUCCUUCCUUCCUUCCAACUUCCUUCCUUCCUUCCCCUUUCUUUCUUUCUUUUUUUUUUUUUUUUUUUUUUGACAGAAUUUUGCUCUUGUCCCCCAGGCUGGAGUGCAGUGGCGCGAUCUUGGCUCACUACAACCUGGAUUCAAGCGAUUCUCCUGCCUCAGCCUCCCGAGUAGCUGGGAUUACAGGCAUGUGCCACCAUUCCCGGCUAAUUUUUUUGUCUUUUUAGUAGAGACGGUGUUUCCCCAUGUUGGUCAGGCUGGUCUCAAACGCCUGACUCAGAUGAUCCGCCCGCCUCGGCCACCCAAAGUGCUGAGAUUACAGGCUUGAACCACCGCGCCUGGCCCUGUGAUGUAGAUUUUGAUGCUGCCAGCCAGGCUGCCUGCCGGGAUCGCCUGCCCUGGAGCAGGAGCAUCAGCCGUGCGUUCCAGGACGCAGGCAUGGCAUGACCGGCAGGAGGCGGAGUGCCCGGCGUCUCUUGGGAUCGGAGCCUCCUGAAUUCCACGCUGGGACCUUAAUUUGGUUUUAACACAAAUAAAGAUCUCACAUAAAGAUAA